GUUGGUGAUGGACAGGGAGGUCUGGUGUGCUGCAGUCCAUGGGGUCGUGAAGAGUCGGACACGACUGAGCGACUGAACUGAACUGAAACCACUCCAGUAGAUUCUUCCAAGUGUGUAGCCCAGAGUGUUCUGCCUGAGGGAGUUGAGAUCACACAGGAAAAACGUGUAACAGCUCACAGGGUGCUCAGGACUGUGGAACUGACAGCCUUUCCUGGGCAGCCACCACCCUGAGCAGCGAUGAGAGCCUCGCCCCUCGUGGUCCCAGGGAGAAGGAAGCUGAUCGGCCUGCCGGCCAGUCUAAGCCACUGCUGGGAGAUCCCUGCCUGCCCUGACCACUGGAGCGGCCCAGGGGACCCACCCUCUCGGGCCCCACCAAGCCCCUGGUCCACACCCAUGGGGAGAGUCCUUCCAGGCCGUCGUGACGGGAAUCUUUGCUGGAAAUCCGCAGAAAGGGCGUGAGGGCAGCCGGGACCUUCCUUCACCGAGGACAUGGCAUCGCCAGGUUCCCCCUCCUACUGUCUAGGAGCUAUCAAACUGAAGCCACUUCUCAUGGUGAACCUUGAGGAAACUCAGGAAAGAAAAGAAUACCUGCUUUCCAGCAGCCAUCAGACUGCAGCCACUCCCCACUGUGAGCCCUGAGGAAACUCAGGAAGGAGAAGACAGGAUGCUGGUCCCAGGUGGUAAGGGAUACUGUCCAUACAUAAUGGCCGGCCUCAGGAAACCCCGCCCCUCUGCCUCUGUCCUGGACCUGUCCACCUGUGGAUGGCUACAGGAGGGAGAAAGUAACACAUCUCCUCCCGAGACUGGCCAUUCCAGGAGAUAUUUGCCAGAUUAGUGGCCUUUUUACUGUAUUUCAUCACCUCUCAGCUCUGUGUUCUAUAAAAGACACUGGCAUCCAGACCCUGACAAGAUGGUUGCUUCAAG